rnacentral:rRNA from 1 species
AAAGAUGCAAAGAACUUUGAAAAGAGAGUUAAAGAGUGCCUGAAAUUGCUGAAAGGGGAAGGAAAGGAAACCAGUGUAAUGCUGUGGUAUUUCCCCGCUGGACGUUGGACUGCGGUUGUGCCAUGGCGUUGGUCAAGAUGGGUUCGACUCGCAGGAUUAGGGUGGGAGGGAGGUGGUUCGCACUUCGGUGUGAAUGUUAUAUCCUUGCACCUUUGCUGUGGGUUGGACCGAGGUCAACCUUGCGCCUCUGGCUGAGCUCUGCUCAUGCAAGGUACGGAUCUUGACGAAAUGGUUUUCUUUCACCCGUCUUGAAACACGGACCAAGGAGUCUAACAUAUAUGCGAGUACAGGGGUGGCAAACCCCCGUGCGCAAUGAAAGUAAAGGGCUGCUUCUGCGGUCUGAGGUGGGAUCUGUCAAAGGUGCACCAUCGACCGACCAUGAUUCUUCGGAUGAAAGGUUUGAGUGUGAGCAUUUAUGUUGGGACCCGAAAGAUGGUGAACUAUGCCUGAGUAGGGCGAAGCCAGGGGAAACUCUGGUGGAGGCUCGUAGCGAUUGUGACGUGCAAAUCCAUCGUGGAAUUUGGGUAUAGGGGCGAAAGACUAAUCGAACCAUCUAGUAGCUGGUUCCCUCCGAAAUUUCCCUCAGGAUAGCUGCAACCUAUGCCA